GAAGGUUGUUGAGCUCCUGGAGUUUCUGGAAAGGAAGACAGAGAGGAAAAUCAUGAAGGGGACACAAGAGCAGCCACUGUCCACAGGGGGCGGAGCCCCAACACCACAGAUGAGGGACCACACUCUGCUUUUAUGCAGGGCUGGGAUGUCUGAACUUAGUGCCGAGUUUUCACAGUGUUUUGGAUUUCCUCAAUUUUUGUGACAUCAGUUCCCGACUCCUCAAGUUUUCCUUCCACAUUCCGAACUUGGAUGUUUUACGUGUCUCUAAAGAGGCCUGGUGUACAUGAGCGUUCCCUGUGAUGUACUGACACCCCAGGAUUUGUUCCUGCCCUGCACCCUGUGAUACCGAGGCAGAUUACAGCUCAUGAAGACCCUAAAACUGGACUAGGCCCCUUCAAUAAUGAGAUGGAUUUGCUUCUUCCAGUUACUGCCCUUUUUGCUAAGUAAAUAACAUAAAGACUGAGUGUUUAAAGGUAUCAUUCCCUAAAUAUUUAAUAUUCACAGAGGCAUUAUUGUUUUGAGAUUGCACAUAUAAGUGCCUUACAUCGCUCCUUACAUACAUGCUUAAUGCAUGCAUUUCCAAUUUAAUUCUUCUUUUUAAAUUUGUUCUUCCACAAAUCUUAAGCACUUCUACCAAUGCUAAGAACAGACUGCUUGAUCCUAAUCAGCCCAGCUUCACUGGCAGGCAUUGUACCAAGAUGGCUCUACUUCCUGUUGUCGACACAUUACAGCAGGCAACACUUACUGAUACGUCCUCUCUCAAAAUCUUUUUAGAUCUCUCCUCUGCAAUCGACACACUCGACCCCCAGAUCCUUCUUGCCAGACCAUUAGGACGGCCCUUAGUGUGGUUGAAUCCUACCUCUAGGGCAGAUCCAACCACGUGCUUUAGCUUGGAGAGAUUUCAGGUGUGCACCAGGGAAGCAUAAAAGUGCCCCAAGGAUCAGUUCUGGCUCCUCUCCACUUCUCUCUAUACACCUCCCGACUGGGCCCAUUAUAAAGUCUCGCGAUUUCUCUUAUCAGUGCUAUGCAAAUGAUAGGCAGCUGGACUUGUCAUUCCCUCCAGAGGACCACACGGUGUCCGCUAGAACCUCUGCGUGCAUCACUGAUAUCUCAACCUGGAUGAAGAAACACCAUCUCAGGCUCAACCUGGCAAAAGAUGGACCUUCUUGUUAUCUCAGUUUCUCUGUCUAUCCAACAGCCCAUGUCUGUUCAAUUUGGAGGAGGGUGGUGAUCAACGACCAGCUGUUCUUCACUAAGCAUGUGGCAAAUAUCUUUCAGUCUUGUAGAUUGUGGAGUGAUGCAUUGUGUUAGCCAUUAUGAAGUGAAGUAAAAUGACCCCUUAUAUUGGCUAACUGAACAGAUUACGAUAUGCAAGCUUUCAGGGCAGCUCAGACCCCUUCAUCAGGCAAGCUGUAGACCUGAGCUAUCUCAAAAACUUGAAUAUUGUCAUCUGCUCAGUUAGCCAAUAAAAGGGAUCACUUUUGCUUCACUUCUCAUUACAGUCUUGCAGAUUUAUUUUAAGACUAGCCAUCCCCCUGGGCUUCGCCCGCGUAUUAGUGAAACAGGACAGCGAGGAGGCCCAGCCCAGCUCCCUACUCCUGACGUCACUCUUCCCUCUGUCCUCGGCCUGCAGCCUCGGUCUCGGAUUAGCACGAACGUAUUGCUAAUGUAAGCGAACUAUGAGUCUUAGCGAGAUGAGAGAAGUCGCAAAAUCAACCGGAAUGUUCAAGCAAAUUACAGAAAAAAAAAGAUCUAAAUCCGUUAAGUAGUUCUCUUGUUCACUAACUAAGCAGACUUAAGGUUACGCUUCAAGGCACACGCAUGAGUGAGGAGGGCCCCGCAGCCUGAUGAGUCUCUCUGGCAUUUGCGCUAAUAAUUCAGUACCGCAAGCAAACUAUGAUACUUAGCGCAAGGAGAAAGUCUCAGAAAUCAACCGACGUGUUCAAGCAAAUUAUUGAAAAAAAUAACAUCUAAAUCCGUUAAGUAGUUCUCUCG